AAUUUCGGUCCCCUCCACUUUAUGUGUGAGAGUUUUCGAUGGUUUACCAUUUCGUCUAUCUACACACAAAAGACUAACUAAUUUGGACCAACAAUUAAUUAUAUAUUUGAAUUUUAAAUUAUCGAGGUAAAAAUGUCCGAUUGUCGAAAUUCAAAUGUUUAAUCGAUUGCUUGUCCGUUUAGGUACUAUAUUAAACGGUCUAGAUCGUCUCAAUUGAUCUCUAGUGUCGGACGCUAUGACUGGGGUUUGAAUUUCGAUUCCCUCCACUUUAUGUGUGCGAGUUUCCGAUGGUUUACCAUUUCGUCUAUCUACACACAAAAAACUA
rnacentral:lncRNA from 1 species